rnacentral:rRNA from 1 species
CAGUAGCCGCGGUAAUACGAAGGGGGCUAGCGUUGCUCGGAAUUACUGGGCGUAAAGGGAGCGUAGGCGGAUGUUUAAGUCAGAGGUGAAAGCCCAGGGCUCAACCUUGGAACUGCCUUUGAUACUGGACAUCUUGAGUGUGGGAGAGGUAAGCGGAACUCCGAGUGUAGAGGUGAAAUUCGUAGAUAUAUGGAGGAACACCAGUGGCGAAGGCGACUCUCUGGUCUGUAACUGACGCUGAGGAGCGAAAGCGUGGGGAGCGAACAGGAUUAGAUACCCGCGUAGUCCCUGUCUCUUAUAC